UACGUAGGGUGCAAGCGUUGUCCGGAAUUAUUGGGCGUAAAGAGCUCGUAGGCGGUUUUGUUGCGUCGGCUGUGAAAUCCCGAGGCUCAACCUCGGGUCUGCAGUCGAUACGAGCAAACUAGAGUGUUGCAGGGGAGACUGGAAUUCCUGGUGUAGCGGUGAAAUUCGUAGAUAUCAGGAGGAACAUCAGCGGCGAAGGCGGCUGACUGGCGAGUGCAAUUGGACGCUGAGGUGCGAAAGCGUGGGGAGCAAACAGG
rnacentral:rRNA from 1 species